rnacentral:rRNA from 1 species
GGCGCCUCCCAGCCAUGACGGAGGCGCGGCGUACAGCUCAGUAACACGUGGCUAACCUGCCCUCGGGACGGGAAUACCCCCGGGAAACUGGGGCUAAUCCCCGAUAGGUGAAGAACUCUGGAAUGAUUCUCCGCCCAAAAGACGCUUAAAUCAUGCUUUUAGGCGCCGCCCAAGGAUGGGGCCGCGACCGAUCAGGUAGUUGGUGAGGCAACGGCUCACCAAGCCUUUAACCGGUGCGGGCCGUGGGAGCGGAAGCCCGGAGAUGGGCACUGAGACAAGGGCCCAGGCCCUACGGGGCGCAGCAGUCGCGAAAACUUUGCAAUACACGAAAGUGUGACAGGGCUAUCCCGAGUGCCAUCCGCUGAGGAAGGCUUUUACCCAGUAUAGAAAGCUGGGAGAAUAAGGAGAGGGCAAGCCUGGUGUCAGCCGCCGUGGUAAUACCAGCUCUCCGAGUGGUGUGGAUGUUUAUU